CUUUUCUAGGAAUAGUUUGUUAAGAUAGAUUUGGGUUAAUUACACAAUUGGUCCCCAACCUUUGCAGUGUUUUCAAUUUGGUCCCGAACCUUUUAUUUUUUGCAAUCGAGUCCCUAACCUCUUAAUUUUACUACAAUAAAGCCCCCGUUAAAAAAGGUGAUAAAUUAAUAGAAUCGCCACUUCAGCGCCACGGAGGUGCCAUGUCAGCACCAGUGAAUUAUAUAAUUUAAAUUUAAAUUUUAUAUUAUAAAUUUAAAUUUAAAUUUAAAUUAUAUUUUGAAUUAAAUUAUAAAUUCAAAGAAAUAUUUUAAUUUAAAAUAUAAAAUUUAAAUUUAAAUUUAAAUUUUGAUUUUGGAUUCAAAUUCAAAUUCCAAUUUUAUAUUUAAUUUUAAAUUAAAAUUCACAUUUUGAAUUCUAAUUCUAAUUUAAUUUCAACUUUGAUUUGGAACUUCAAAUUCAAAUGUGAAUUUGAAUUUGAAGUUUAAAUUCAAAUUUAGAAUUGGAAUCAAUUUCAAUUCAAAUUUAAAAUUUGAAUUCAGAUUAAAAUUUUAAAAUCAAAAUUUUGAAUAUAAUUUUAAAUUUAAAUUUAGAUUUUAAAUUUAAAUUUUAGUUUCAAAAUUUUCAUUUUAAAUGGAAAUUGAAAUAUCAAAAUCAAAAUCAAAAUCAAAAUUUUAAGUUUGAUUUCAAAAUUAAAAUUCAACUUAAAAUUCAAAUUUAAAAUUUGAAUUUCAAUUCAAAUUUUAAUAAAGCUUUAAAUCAAAAUUAUAGCUUUAAAUCAAAAUUAUAGCUUUAAAUUCAAAUUCAAAAAUUUUAAUAUCUCAUUAGUUUUUAAUUUUAAAUCAAAAUUAUAGCUUUAAAUUCAAAUUCAAAAAUUUUAAUUUCUCAAUAGUUUUUAAUUUUAAUUUUAAUAAAGCUAUAUAUCAAAAUUAUAGAUUUAAUAAAGCUUUACAUCAAAAUUAAUGCUUUAAAUUCAAAUUCAAAAUUUUUUAUUUCUCAUUAGUUUUAAAUUUUAAUUUUAAUAUUAAUUUCAAAUUUCAAAUUUUUAUUUUUUGGAAACUAAAGUGAAAAAGGUGCAAAGUUUGGGAACCAAAAUUGAUGUGCAAAAAGAAGCCAAGUAGGCGCUGACGUGGCGAUUCCGUUAAUUUUAACACUCUUUUUCAGGAUUGGGACUUUAUUGUAAUGAAAUCAAGAAGUUAGUUACUCGAUUGCAAAAAAAAAGGUUGGGGACUAAAUUGAAAAAUAACGCAAAGGUUGGGGACCAAUAAUGUCACAUUCGGGCCCCAGCAGAAGCCUACCCGACAGUGCACAUACCCGCCCGCCGUGUGCACAAGGUGCUCCCGGUGCACACAAGGCGUCUACCACAAAACAAUCAAUUAAGGAAAAUAAGGAAAUUAUACUAGUAUGGUAAUCAAAGCAUAAGUACUAAGCUAUACAAUAAAUCAACAAGCACUAAUGGAAAUAACGAGUUACUACAAUAAAGAUACAUCUAUCACAAGAUAUACAUCAAGUGCCAACAAGAGAGUAUAUCACAUGAAUAUGGUAGUCUCUAUACAAAAUGAUCUAAUACACAUUUCGUGACUAAAACAAAAGAAAGGUGUCCACCUAGGCAACGACUCCCAAAAGGCUCACCGACCGUCCCUAGAGUAAGUGGCAAAGGGCUUGGUGGUUGGUACCCGAGACCCAAGUUCGAAUCCUAGUUGAUUCACAUUUCUAGCUAAGUUUAUUUCUAAAUGAAAUAAACGAAGCGGAUAGCGUGCUACCUAUUUCUCAAAAAAAAAAAAAAAAAAAAAUCCCAAAAGGCUCUAACUAGUCGCAACUCCCUUGCCGCGAUCUCUAACCUCUCCCGCAGUGGAAGGCUCUGAAAUAAAAACAACAAACAUAUGAGGGUGAAAACUAUUAAACAAUAUUUUCUAGUGGGUAAGCCGCCGAGAAAAGCGAAUUACACUACUAAGUCAACUGGGCAAAAGUAGAAAUAGUUACUAAUAAAGCAUGAAUAAAGUCAAGCAUUAAGGUUCAAAUACUACUAUACCUCCAAAUAACUAUAUUAUUUAACAUAUGUGAGAUUUACACUAUCACUUGUACAUGCAUACAAUGUCUAGUAAUUAUGUCCAAAUGUCAUGCACUAUUUAAUUGUGAUGUCCAACAAUAAAUGUAUUUACAAUUACCCAACCAUCGGGGACGUACACAAGGUAUAAUCCCGACUUGUGCUGUACCUAAUGGCCCCGUGGUAGUUAACACUUCCCUGCUAGAAAUAAGUCUCGCCCACGGCAAUUCACUUCGGCGCCCAAUCUCGUACGGGCAAGCAUGAUGUUGCAAAGGCUAACUCCAAAGUGCCGGCUUGUAGGGAGCAACCCUACAACUUCCUUCCCUUUAUGUUGAUAAACAAAUCCGUAAAGAAUUAUUUGAAAAAACAUUGCCAACUACAGGAGUUUCAUUAAGAUAAUCAAACUACUGUAAAACUAUAUACAAAUUUUUCCAGAUAAAAUGUUUAUUUAUUUUAUUCUAACUUUUAUAUAAAAUUUUAUUGUCAGCUCCACACAACCUGCUGAUGACAUCCAAGAAAUCCAACCUGCGAAAUGAUGUCGAUUUAUGUAAUGUCUAAUAACAAUUCAACAAGCUAUUCAUAUAUUUAAUAUAAUUUAUAUUUAAUUGUUUAAAUUUAUUUGUAG
rnacentral:lncRNA from 1 species